AUGGUUUCCGCCGAUGUGGCCCGCAACAUCGUCGGCAUCAUCGGCAAUGUCAUCUCCUUCGGCCUCUUCCUCUCCCCUGUGCCAACGUUCUGGCGGAUCUACAAGGCCAAGGACGUGGAGGAGUUCAAGCCGGACCCCUAUCUGGCGACGCUCAUGAACUGCCUGCUCUGGUUCUUUUACGGGCUCCCCAUCGUCCACCCCAACAGCACCCUCGUCCUCACCAUCAACGGCAUCGGCCUUGUCAUCGAGGGCGCCUACAUCAUCAUCUUCAUCAUCUACGCGGCCAAGAACACAAGGUGGAAGAUGCUCGGCGUGCUGGCCAUCGAGGCAGCGUUCAUGGCUGCCGUGGUGGCCGGUGUGCUCGUCGGCGCCCACACCCAUGAGAAGCGCUCCAUGAUCGUAGGCAUCCUCUGCGUCAUCUUCGGCUCCAUCAUGUACGCCUCCCCGCUCACCAUCAUGGGUAAAGUGAUCAGGACCAAGAGUGUGGAGUACAUGCCAUUCUUCCUGUCGCUGGUGAACUUCCUCAAUGGCUUGUGCUGGACGGGCUAUGCGCUCAUCAAGUUUGACAUCUACAUCACGGUA
rnacentral:rRNA from 1 species